GACGAACGCUGGCGGCGUGCUUAACACAUGCAAGUCGAACGGAAAGGCCCUGCUUUUGUGGGGUGCUCGAGUGGCGAACGGGUGAGUAACACGUGAGUAACCUGCCCUUGACUUUGGGAUAACUUCAGGAAACUGGGGCUAAUACCGGAUAGGAGCUCCUGCUGCAUGGUGGGGGUUGGAAAGUUUCGGCGGUUGGGGAUGGACUCGCGGCUUAUCAGCUUGUUGGUGGGGUAGUGGCUUACCAAGGCUUUGACGGGUAGCCGGCCUGAGAGGGUGACCGGCCACAUUGGGACUGAGAUACGGCCCAGACUCCUACGGGAGGCAGCAGUGGGGAAUAGUGCACAAUGGGCGGAAGCCUGAUGCAGCAGCGCCGCGUGCGGGAUGACGGCCUUCGGGUUGUAAACCGCUUUCGCCUGUGACGAAGCGUGAGUGACGGUAAUGGGUAAAGAAGCACCGGCUAACUACGUG
rnacentral:rRNA from 1 species